rnacentral:rRNA from 1 species
UACGUAGGGUGCAAGCGUUGUCCGGAAUUAUUGGGCGUAAAGAGCUCGUAGGCGGUUUGUUGCGUCGGCUGUGAAAUCCCGAGGCUCAACUUCGGGUCUGCAGUCGAUACGAGCAAACUAGAGUGUUGCAGGGGAGACUGGAAUUCCUGGUGUAGCGGUGAAAUGCGCAGAUAUCAGGAGGAACACCGGUGGCGAAGGCGGGUCUCUGGGCAGCAACUGACGCUGAGGAGCGAAAGCGUGGGGAGCGAACAGG